AACAUACCCGGUUUAUUUAUUCAGAGCAAAACAAAAGGAGAAAACCAACCUCCCUCUAGAUCGCCUUACCCAAUAUGACAUCAGACAAAACUUUCUCUCUCUCUCUAAGUGUAAUACUCAUACAUGAUAUAUAAUCACAAAGCAUAAUCACCCUAAACUUACAAAAGACACAAGCCAUACUCAACUUUGUGGUCCAUUUUCCAAGUGAAAAACAAAUGAGCUCUGAUCCGAUGCACCAGACCCGAUGCAUUUUGACUCCUACUCCUCGUUGACUCUCCCCAUUUUCAGAGCUCAGACACCCAGAUCCAAACAGAAACAGUACCUUCUUUGGUUCUUCUUUGCUUACUUCUUAGGCUCUGAUAAGCUACUCAGAAGGUUCCCCUCCCAUGCAUCAUCUCUUAGUGAUCAUGAUCAUCAUGAAACAGAUCAUGGGUACAUUGAGAAAAGAGUUAUUAAUGGGUUGUUUCUCUCUCCUACUCUUGGUGAUGAUAAUGAUUUUAGUGUUUGAGAAUUCAUCAACUUCUGCUGAUGGGUAUGCCAAAUUUGAAAGCUUCAAAGAAGGGUCUGCCUCAGAAUAUGAUACUAGUCCUCUUCAAUCCAAUACACCAGGGUUAACUGUUGGAGGAAACAAACAUGGAGAUAACACUGAUUCUACUCUUGUUGAUGAAAAGAGAAGAAUUCACACUGGUCCUAAUCCUUUGCAUAAUAGAUAAGUUUUUUUUACUUUCUAUAAUAUAUAAAUAACAACGAUGAUUUCUCUUCA